rnacentral:lncRNA from 10 species
GACUUUGGGGGAGGAAAUUCAAUAUUAAGACAUGAGUGGGAAUGCUCCUUUCCAUUGGUCAUCAUUGAUUUAUGAGAAGUAAACUAGAUGUGUUAGGGAAAAUAACUGGCUAAGUUCCACCGUAUGAAGUGUUUUUUAGUUAUGUACAUCCCAUCCCCCAUAUUAAGAAAACCAGCUUGAAACAGUUCAGUGUCAAAAGGUAUGCUCUCCUCAUUCAAGCAGUGAUCCAGGUAGGCGUGAGCCACCGCGCCCGGCCCAGACAGCAUUUAUUAUUGUGAAUAAUUUGAUGUCUUUCCUUCCCAGUUGCCUUUUUAUACAUAGGCAUUUUACAUAUUUUAAUAAUUGGGAUUUUUAACAUAUACACAUUAUUUUUGUUGUUUAUGGGGAGUAGGGGUUGAGAGAAUGGCUCUGAAGUUUACGCCACGUGUGUUUGAAACCAGCUUCUGCCAUUUGUUGUAUGACAAAUGCUUACCCUCCAAAUCUGUUUCUUUAUUUAUGAGAUAGGAAUAAUAAUAGUAUGUAUUUCCUAAGAUUAUUGUAAGAACUAGUUGAGGAUCAAUUAAGUGUUCAGUGCUGGGCGCAGUGGCUCACGCCUGUAACCCCAGCAUUUUGGGAGGCCGUGGUCGGUGGAUUGCUUGAGCCCAGGAGUUUGAGACCAGCCUGGGCAACAUAGUGAAACCCCCUCUAUAAAAAAUUCAAAAAUUAGCUGAAUAUGGUGGCACACACCUAUAUCCUAGCUACUCUGGAGGCUGAGGCAGGAGAAUGGCAUGAACCCGGGAGGCGGAACUUGCAGUGUGCCAGGAUCACGCCACAGUGCUCCAGCGUGGGCGACACAGCGAGACCCCAUCUCAAAAAAAAAAAAAAUUAAUUGUUUAAGGCC